AACCCUCUGCCUUCUGCCCUUUUUCUAAUUAUAAUAGUCUCUGGAAAGUGGCUGUCCAAAUCAGUUCUUACAACGCCGGAAUCCGAGCAAGCUUUGAGACGCUGUGGUCGUUUGUCUUGUUGCGGCCGACUUGGAGCACUACUUCAUCAGAUCACAGAAGACCUGCGACUGCUGUGUAGGCCUCUGCAGAGCAAAUGAUCGGAGCAGGAUGGAUGGGACUAUAGUGAGGAAAUUCUGAAGUUCAUAGUUUAAAUUCCUGUAAAUUCUUAAAAUCACAAAUUUUAAGGAAUUGGGGAGUAUUUCAAGGGCAGGAAACAUUAGCUUUUUGUGUGUGUGUGUGUGUGUGUGUGUGUCACUCAGAACGUUGUACUGUGCAAAGGAAGUGGAACAAGGUCCAGGCAAUAAACUGAGUAAGGAAGUCCUGUGUGAGCCUGCAACGACGUGAGCACAGAACACCCGGAGGCAGUUUCCUUCUCUUUCCAAGGUCACCUCUUCUUCAGGUACUUGAAACUGUGAUCUCUAACCACACUCCUUAAGUGGGGGUUUUAACUGCAUCUGUCCCACGUCUGAGAUCACAUUUGUACCUCUGUCAUCGUCCUGGAAAUUUCCGUUCCAGCGAUCGAUUACCACGUGUUUUGUUUUAUUCCUCCAUCGGGCUUCAGUUUUGAAUUCCACAAAUCCUGAUUCAACCUCAACCUAAUGAAAGAAGGUGCCACACCUUUCUUAGUUGCUACUCUGGAUAGUGAAGGCUUUAAGGCUUUUAGCAAUAGAGGCAGGGCAGAGGAGGCAAAGUGGGCAGAUGAUUGGCCAAAAAAACCAGCUUUUGGCUACCCUACCCCAGGGGUCUGAAAGUGACCCUAGGAAAGAGCCCUCCACAAGCUGAACUCUCCGACAGUCCCUGCGGCCCAUCAGUGAGUCACUGCCAUGAGGAGGGCAAGAGUAUGCUCUGAUUGUCCCACCCAGGGCCACGGAGCAGCAAUCCCGCUGGAGCAAUCUUGGUUCUACUGGAAGAUGACUCUGCCAUGAGUGACAGCCCCAGACCCGAGGAGCUCCAGGAGUCGAGAUCGCGUCACCCUCCACAUAGCAGGUAGGAGAACAAAACUAUUUAUCGGCACCGGCACCGGCACCGGAGCUGCCUGCUCUGUCCUGACUCAGCCAGGAGUGCUCCAUGACAGGAGUGUAUGGUAGAUUCAAAGUGAGACACUUCACUUUUCCUCUCACUUGCAGAAUUGGCUCUCAAACUAUCUCCCAUUCCUUUCUCUAUGUCCCAGAAUGUCCCAUCCCUCUGUUACUAAGGGACCUAUUGACAAAGUUAGGAACAAGUACCUCAAUGGCCUGAAAUCAAAUUUAGGGAGAAGUGCCCUUAGAACAAGACAUUCAUUCACUAGCCUUUUAUUUACUUUUUAAGUAUCAUAUAUUUAUUACUGGACCCACCAAACCCAGUACCUCAGUGCCUUCAUCUCUCAAGAAAGAUCAGAUUCCCAGUUAAAUAUGCCCAGACAGCUUGGCACGGUCAGCUGAACAUGACCCUGACUGAGCACAAGUCUGUGUCAUCUCCUGUAAUUCCUUAUAGAUCACUUGGUUCUCCUCCAAUGUCACUUGGAGGAGAGUGCUUUGUGUAAAGGUUUUCUAUCCAGCCAUAACUGGGAAUCCAUAGCUGACGGCUAUUUCAUGACUGACUUUCUUACUGUGUUUCAUCCAAAUUCAUUGGGGAAAUGGGACAGUUCUGCUUCUGUAAAUGCCCCAGGAUUCAAUCCCUGACAUUCCUGUAAGAUGUGGAAAGAAGUGGCAUGAGCCACAGUGGCAAGAAGUGCUGAGAGCCAUAGCCGAGUCCGAAUGACGCAUGGCAUUUUUGCCAGAACGGAGUGGUUGAGAGGUGGCCAGUGAGCCAUUGAGAAGAUGAUGGUUAUGUUAAGCUGUGUAUAUUAGACCCCUGCUGUCCACCUCGGCCUGCUACUUUGGAGUUCUUACGGGGAUUCCCCGAGAGUUCCCAUUGGUGGGGGAAGUGCCGGAGGAGGGAUUUCCGGUUGGUGGUUCCUGGAGGAGCCGUGUGUGUGGCGUUCAGGAGAGUUCCUGGGGAGUGUGUGUGGAGUGUGCUGGUGGAGUUCAGAAAUAAAGUUUGUUCCUGCUUGAGUGGCUCGUGAUUUGUGCCCAGCCAGACUGCCGCAAAGAAGAGGUGAAGCUGCUUGCCCUUUUAAAUAAGAAGAGAGCCCUCAGAGUCUCCAUGCCUUUAAAUGGGGGAACCCCAAAAGUUGAGAGGCCCUAAUUUGUACACCAUUAUUGAUAUAAGGUUUUCCCUAAAAGGCCCAGAAACCUCUUCAAAGGGUCCAGUAUUAGGGAUUUGUCCACACCCCAGGAGCCUUUAGGUUGGCCCUGAGUGACUGCCUCACUGUCCAGGCCUGAGUCUAAAAGACAGCUCUGUGGAUUUCUGGGCAUGAAAUAUCCGUCAGCUAUGGACUCCCAGUUAUGGCUGGAUAGAGAACCUUUACACAAGGCACUAAAGGGAGAGGACAAAGGAACUUUCCCCCAGACUGAAGGGCACGUGACCUAUUAAAGACUGAGCUGGGUCGUGCUCAAGCUGGGCCUUCCCAACCUAGAAACUCUAUACACACAAAGGCUGGAUUUAGUUUAAAGGUUCCAAUUCAAACAUUAGACCUGCUUCAAGGGCAGUUUCCUACUUCUCCAAACACUAGAUCUAGUGGUCGAGUUGUUUGAAAGCAGAGGCUACACCUGGUUUGUGGUCAACAAGGCCUCCUAAUCAACCUUGGGACAACAUAAGAAGGUUCACCACCCCAAGUCCAGGCAGUUUGGGAAGUCAAGGUCAUCUCUAACUCAUGGAGGGAAGACCAACAAGAAGUCAGGCCCUCCCGGCCAGGCAAGGUGGCCAGGCCUGUAAUCCCAGCUGCUGAGGCGGGAGGCUCAAGGGUUCUCAGGCAGCCUCAGAAACUUAGUGAGGCCCUAAGCAACUUAGCAAGACCCUGUCUCAAAAUACAAAAUAAAAAAGGCUAGGGAUGUGGCUCACUGGUUAAGUGCUCCAGGAUUCGAUCCCUGAUACAAAAAAAAGAAAUCAGGCCCUCCUGUUAGAUAGUCCUGUAUAGGCAUUAUAGAACAAACUUACUCCAGCCAGUAAGACCUUAGUAAGUCUGAGGAUGAUGGUUCACCGAUGGAGGCAGUUUUGUAGAAAAGGGCAUCCGAGAAACUGGACACAGAGUGGGAAGUGGCUAUGAUACCACAGAAGCAAAUGCCUGUCUCUAACACCUCUGCCCAAAGCACAGCUCAUUGCCCUUAUCUGGAGCCCUACAAUUAAAAUAAGGAAGAAUCUUAAAUAUCUACACAUUCCAAAUAUGGAUUUCAAGUACUCCAUGCCCAGUGGCUAUCUAGAGAGAAAGAAGGGUGUUAACAACUUGAAAUUUCCAGAUAAAGUAUAGAGACCUAUUAUUAAAGUUUUGAGGCAGUGUGACUUCCUAAAUAGAGGGCAGUAAUUCACUGUGAGGGACACCAAUGGGAUGGAUCCCCAGUAAGCCAAGAUAAUAAUAUGGUAGAUAAGACUGCAAAGUUUGUGUCCAAUCCCCUGGCUCCCCCAGAGAAUCCUACACAGCUGCAUAAACUUAUGGCCCUAGUCCCAGAUUCUUCUAAUCAAAAUGCCUAAGAACCCCUCCACAGAAACACAAAAUGGAAUAAAUGGGUAUACUAUGCUAAUGAGACAGGAUGGCUCACAGAUGGGGAGAAGACUGUUAUUCCUGAGGCUUAUCAGUGGAAUGUUAGUAAACAUCCACAUGAGGGCACCUAUUAUCCAAAGGACACCCUUUGGGAACUGACAAGGGCUAUUCUUACUGGAAAGGGAUUUCAUAAGACUAUCAGUAGGUUUUACAAAGCUGUGAAAUUUGGUAACAAGACAACCCAAUUUUUAAAAUUUGUCUAGUAGCAGUACAUCUAUCUAUGGGAAGAUUGGCAAUUGGAAUUUACCCAAAUGCCCUAAAAAUAUGGAUAUAAAUAUUCACUUACAUUUAUAGGAUGGACAGAAGCCUUCUCCACUGAAACAGAGAAAGCCAUUGGAGUAUAUAAAUGUCUUUUAAAAGAAAUUAUGCAAGCCAAGAACAGUGGCACACACCUAUAAUCCCAGGGACUCAAGAGGCUGAGGCAGGAGGAUUGUGAGCUCAAAAUCAGCCUCAGCAACUUAGCAAGGCCUUGUCUCAAAUUAAAAAAAAAAAAACAAAAAAAACAUUAAAAGGGCUGAGGAUAUGGCUCAGUUGUUAAGCGCCCCUGGGUCCAAUCCCUAGUAAGAAAGAGAGAGAGAGAGAGAGAGAGAGAGAAAUUAUUCCACAAUUCAGGCUCCCAGAGUUCUUCCAAAGUGAUGAUGGUCUUCCUUUGUUAUAAAUAAAACAACUACAACAACAAAAAAUCCUCUCUAUUGCCCUUAGAUUAUAUCCUUAAAUUUUAGCUAAGCUGCAUUCAGCUUGGCAUCCCCAAUCUAAAGGAGCCUUGGAUAAAGCUAUUUCCCAAUGCCCUUUUCAGAACUGUGCUGCCUCAAAAAGCUAUUCAAAACUUCUAAGCCCCCUGUAGAUGCCAAAUUGACAACGCUUCUUAAUUGCCACCUUUUGGUUUGAUGAAAAUACAUGCCACUCCUCACACUAUGUCAUUAACCUGGGUAAACACGGUGGGCUCUCCUAUAGUUUGGAAACAGAAUUUUCCUGGACUGACACAAAACCCUGCUGUCCUUCCAAGAGUGCAGGAGGAGAUAGGAUUAUGCUCAAAACAUGGAGAGAGGGUUCACCAGAGGACCCCAACUUCAGCCCAAAUGGAAAGGACCUUAUCAGGUUAUACUCACCACCAACCUUACUGUAAUGUACAGAAAAUCCCCAGGUGAGUCCCCUUACUAAGAUUAAAAUUUGUUUCCACCUAAUCUCUCAUACGAUUCUUCAGAUUUACAUAAAUACACUCCUGAGCCCGUAGAGGACCUCAAGUACCUACUCAAGAAAGUGAAUACACAAGAAAUGGGGUGAUGGUAUCUUGCAGGAGGCUUAUUUGUUAAUGUCAUUAAAAUUAAUAGGGAUACAGGCAAGGAACCUCCGCUGCCCACUUCGUCCCUUUAGAUCAUGUAGUGAAAGAUCUUUGUAACCUCUAAGAUAAGAAGGAACAACCUCCCUGUAUCGGCAGGAAGAAGCUAUAGAAGAUAAGAGACCUUAGUUCCUUUACAAUAGGAAACAAUAAGGAGGGUAAAAUCUCUCCUGGGAAAAUGAGAUAGUAGGGACAAAGGGAAGAUGCACUCCUGGGUUUUGGCUCAUAGCAUGUUGGGCAGAUCCAAGAUGGGUAUAGUUAGGUCUCCUCGAUGGGGUUUCCAGUGGGCUAUGUUUGCAGUAUGUAGCCAAGGUCAUGGACACCCUGAUUCAGGGUGUGUACUCAAGGUCACUGCAUUGCUUGUGAGCAUGCACUCACUUGCGUAACCUGUUGGCAGUGUGCCGUCUUUGUCUGACCUGCACAUAAAACUGCCUACAGAAAUGGUUCAAGGGUCUGGCUGGGUGUGGAACUGGAGGCUGGGCUGCUGCCCGCUCCAAGUAAAGCAUGUCUGCUCCCAGCCUCACUGCACGUCUUCCUUCACCUGCUGAGAUCCGAAUCUCUUUUGUUGGGUCUGAGCCCCACACAGCAGCCUGACAGCCAUUACAAGGUCCCACCUUAUCUUACAGUCCGUCAGAUAGGAUUAUCAAUAGUAUAUCAGAUAUAAGUGUGUAGGCACACACCAAGCAAAGCCAGAGAAAUGAUAACCAAUGGCCAGAUUCAAAGAGGUUAGGAAAGGCUUUAAAAUUCCUGGCUCAGAGAAGUCUGAAAUUUCAUCAACCCCUUGAGCCUACUGGGACCUGCCCAAGGCCAUGGGAUGUGCCGCCUGUGACUGCUAGGGGGGUGCUGUGCAGCAGGUGACCUCAGGUGUGCCUGGGGAACCAGAGAGUCUUGAUACCUGGGAAUGCGGAUGCCGAUUCAGAAAUUGGGAGCUCCAAACAGUGUUUAGGGAGAUGGUUGGACCGGGACCAUCUCAGGGACAGGUCUGCUGGGUGCACUGAGACGCACGGUGGGCUGUACAACUCCAUCUCUGCAGACAUCCCGGGGCAGAGAGCUGGGGGCACCUCCCAUGGAACAUGAAGCACAACUAUGCAGCACCUAUUGGAAAGGUGCUAGAGGGCUGCUGGUCGAUGGUUCCGACUUGGAUAGGGACCACCAAGCACAGCGCACGCUCUGUGACAGUGGUUCCCCAUGCACAGUGUUUGCUCUUUACACAAUUUCAUGUGAGAAUCCCCGGCAGACUAUAACUACUGACUCUGCCUUUCAGUCUGAGGAGUCCAGGGCUGGCAUGGGAGCUCUUUGCAUAAAGUCUAGGGAACACAGAUCAUUUCUCUGCCAGAAAAGCAAUUGGAGUGAUUCAAGGAGCUCUCAGUCAGAGGAACACAGCAGGCUCUCUGAGGAGAGGCACUCCUUUAAUUCCGUGCACUUGCCCAUGGAGUCGCCUUCCCCUCCUGGCCAGCAGGACCCAGGCUUUCUGUCCUGUCCUGUCCUGCUGUGGCUCCUCAGCACCUGCCUUGAAGACUGAUGACACUCACCAUUCUGCUUCCCCCCUAUGCAGUGAUGCCGUCUGAUCCUGGGGAGGAAAUGACAGACCAGUAAUCCGCACAGUCUCCCAGAUCUAAUCAGAUCAAAACCUGUCCCUGUAGCAAAGCAGGGUUUUCCAGAAGCACUUGCUCAGGUCCCUGCCGGUAUUUGGUUCCCCCUGGCCCCAUGUGUCUCUCACCACCACCCACCAACAAUUCCCCUGUUUGUCUCCUUCCUCCUCUCACCCCCAACCUGGCCAUAACCCUAACCUUUCAAAUGAUUUUUUUACUGAGAAGAGAGAAUGAAUCCCAAUGUAGCUGUAGCUGUCCACAUUUCAUGGGGAAGUCAGUGAUAACAGGCCACGAGGCUGCAGGGAGGAGGGAUUCUGCGUGUGAUCCUACUGGAUGCAGAUCGCCCAGAAUCCAAACCUGUGCGUGAACUGCAUCAGUCUGGGGCUCAGGACACCGCAGCUAAGGUCAGAGCAGUGGCAAAGCCCUUCUUGAAAGGAUCUGCCUGCCCACUUGGCCAGUGGGCCCAAAGGCAGACAGGCUCCGAGUUUCUCUGAGUUACUGAGUCCCAACCAUUACUUUAAUUAGGUAUUAAAAUUGCAAAAACUGAAGGUUUGGCAAUUUGGAUUGGAGUCUAUUCUGAUUUGCUGAAUAAAGCCUCCCGAGAAUUUUCUAUGGGAAAGUGCUUACAUUAGAACAAGGGGAACAUCUAGCACAGCCUGGUCGAAAAUGUGUUUGGGGUAAAAUAUCUUUGAUUAUAAGUCAUAUAACCUAUGACAGUAGGUUUGGAAAAUAAAUGGGAGAGAGACACUCAUGAUCCCAGCACUGUGACACAAUGCUUGUGGGUUUUGUCAUUCCUCUUUUACCCCGGAUUUGCAAAAGUAAGUCAUCCUCCUCAUUCUGUUGUGGCAGACUUGCCGUUUGAUUUUCCCAACCUUGGGGCAUGAUCAGCUUCCCACCCCACCUGUAUCUCUACACAACUGCCAUUUUAAUGGGACUUGUCCCAAACUUCGUCGGGCUUUUGCUGCUUACAAGUUUUGCCCUUUGACAUAAUGCUAUGAUGAACAUCUUGCUCCAUAUAUCUUGGUCAAUAAUUUGUAUUAAUGAUUUGAUGGAACUGAAGAAAAUUUGGGUUCUUAUCAUUAUGACGUGUGGAGGCAAUUUAUUAAGAGGAGAAAAUGAUGUCUCAAAUGACAGUAAAUAAAAUAAAAGCCCUCAGGGUGCUUAAUCCUAUAAGAUAGCAAAACUUCAUUAAUUUAGAUCAACUGUGGGAAGAUAGGGCUAAUUAGUACAUUUAAUUUAAAUGCUGUUUAUUCUUUUUAAUUACAUAUAAAUGCAGUUUGUUAAUUUUUCCAAACAGAAAUCCUUCAAGGUUUGCAAGUGCUGUUUAAUUCGUAAUCAUUUAUUAUUUUAAGCUGACUGGAAAUGGAAGCUGUAAAGUACUUACAAAGCAGUUGUUUUAAUCAAGUAGCAAUGUGAUUUUUUAUUUAAAGUAAUUGACAGAGAUAGACUAUAUUCAAGAUGUACAAUAUGUUGGUUCAAUAUGUGUUGACAGUUGGGCUGGGGUGUGGCUCAGCAGUAGAGCACUUGCCUAGCAUGUGUGAGGCCCUGGGUUCAAUCUUCAGCACCACAAUAAAGAUAUUGUGUCCAACUACAACUAAAAAAUAAAUAUUAAGAAGUAUAUGUUGACGGUGAUUACCACAGAUUAGUAUCCUGGUGAUUGGAUCCUGGAACUCUUUCAUCUUACAAGGGGAAGUCUGUGUCCUUUGACCAAAAUACCCCAUUUCCUCACCCCUGCUCCUUGGCAAGUACUGUUCUGUGCUAGCUUCUAUAAAUUUUACUUUGUUUUUAAUAUUUUUACUGGUAUAUCAUAAUUAUAUGUUAUAGCAGGAUUCAUUGUUACCUAUUCAUACAUGAGACUGGAGAACAAUAUAAUCUGGUCAAUUUGGGUUUGACUUUGUCAGAUAUCACAUGUGUGUGAGAUGAUGCAGAAUUUGUCUUCCUGUGUCUGCUUUCUUCACUUAGCAUAAUGUCCUCCAGUUUCACCCAUACUGUCACCAAUGGCAGGAUAAUAUUCCCUAUGUGAAUCACAAUGUCUUCAUCUGCCACCCACUGCCGAACAUUUCAGUGUUUCCGUGUCUUGACUAUUGUGAAUCAUGCUGCAGUGAACAUGGGUGGUGGUGAUUUCAUUUCCUUUGGAAUCAUAUCCAAAAGUGGGAUUGCUGGACCACAGGGUAAUUCUAUUUCUAAUUUUUUGAGGAACCUUCACAUUGUUCUCCAUGAUUGUUCUCGUCUACAUUCCCACCAACAGUGUGCAAGGGUUUCCUCAUGGGUGUGAGUGAUUAGCGAGGCGAGUUAAGAUCUGGAAAGCAUACGACAGGUAAUAAAUGCCAUAGUCUGGGAAGGAGUGGGUUUCAGUGAGGCACCAGGAGAAGUUUUCUGAGGAGAAGGCCCGCACUCCUUCCGCAUUCUGCGGUCCAGAUGACUUGACCUCCUCCCCAGUGACACAUGAGGCUUUCUUCCCUGUAGCUGUAAUGCUGGCUCAGGGGUGGUGAGCAUCAGCAGGAGGGAGGGACUAAAGGCCCAAGCAGUGCCAGCAUACAGGAGGUGCUUAAUAAGUAGCUAUUGAAUCAAGUCUUCCUUUUGGAUGAGUUAAUGAUCAUUUAAUCGAGUAGGGAGACUGAAGGCUCAUCUUGUGUGCCAACGUAGUCAGGCCAUAGUACACAGUCAUUUAAUUAAGCACUAACCAAAAGUUGCUGUGAAGGAAUUUUGUAGAUGUGGCCAUAGUCCAGUUGACCUUCUGCAAAGCACAUUAUCCUAAGUAACAUGGUUCAAGUCAGUGGAAAGCCAAAGAGCAAAACUGAAAUUUCCAGUAAAAAAAAGGAACUUUUGCUUCAUGAUGGUAGCAUCAACUCCUGACUGAGCUGAUGCCCACUGACUGCAGACCUGGCAGCCCUGAGAAUUGUGUAAGCCAACCCCUUACGAAAGUCUUUCUGUGUGUCCUACUCCCUGGAGAAAUGCGGCUAGCAUUCAAGUUCUUGACUCUCUCCAAUGGCUCUCAGAAGUCAAGUCCUCCAGGUAGGCAAUUAAAAAAACAAACAAACAAACAAAAAUCCAAAACCAAAGACACAAAAACCUUUCCUUAGCAACUUGAAUCAGCUCGAGAGGAAAUUGCCCAGAUACAGACACUGGCACCAGAAGUUUCCAACUACAAAGCUCAGUGGUCACCCCACCUGUGCCAUAUACUCACCAAACACAUCCAAUCCUCAGAGAUCCAGAGAUCUUCUUAGUCCCUGAUACUCAAAUCUGAGGAUCAACAGACAUCUAGGGAACUCUGAUAUGGAAGAGACUAAACAGAGAGGAGACUACAAUACAGGGGAGCAAGCUUCUAUAGGAAGAAGAAAACUUCCAAAAUGCUAUUGUCAAUUUUCUUAGAGAAAGAAGGAUAAGCAUUUUAUUUAUGAGACUAAGAAUAUUAUUUUUCAAAAAAGAAACAGUCACAGAAUGAACGAAAGAACUCUUGGCUACUAAAAUAUGAGGGCAAAAUUGAAGACUCAAAUUGGAAGACUAAGGUGAGAAAAUAUGCAGAAAAUAGAACAAUAAGAAAAAUAUGGAAAAGAGGACAGAAAAGAAAAUGGAGAAUAAGUUCAGGAAGCCUAAUAUCUAAAACAUAUAUGAAAAUAAUAUUUAGAAUAGAGGAAAUCAUCAAAGUAAUUCAAGAAAAUUUCUGAGAAGUAAAUGAAUUUCCUGAUAGGAGGGUCCACGGAAUACUCAUGAAUACCUGUGAAGAGCAGGAUAGAAGUUCAGAACAGCAGAGACAAAGGAAAAAUCCCACAAAUGUCCAGAAAGAGAAGACAAGUGCAUCCAUCAAUAGGCAUGAGGAUUCCCUUGAGGGAAUUGCUUUACGAAAAGCAACAGCAAAGCUAAAGAUAGUGGGGCUCAAAUUUUCAUUAUUCAGAAGGAAAAUAAUUUUUCUGCUUAGAGGUCUUCACCUAGUCAACCACCAGCCAUGUAUCAGAGAAGAUCAAAGGCAUUUAGAUAAGAAGGACCAAGUAAUUAACUCCCAUACUCCCUUCCUCAGACCCAAACCAGGCAUCAGAUCAAGAAACUAAAGAUGUCACAGGAAAUAAGUUCUCCCACACUCAAGAGAGAUGAUGGGAGUGUACAUUUUGCUGGUUCAGGGCAAUCCUGGAAUGCUGGCUUCUCCUGUGGUCUGCAGGUGACCAUCAAGUGAAGCAAGGGGAAGGACCUCAGAGAGAUAUCCUGGGGACAGUGAACUCUGUGAUUCCAAAUGUCUCGAGAUUGAAUAUAUAAUAAAAGCAUGAAAACAAAGCAAAUGAGACAAGCAUGAAGUUCAGGAAAAACAAAGUUAUGCAGUAAAUUCAUGGCUCAGCUGUGAAUAAUCUUAUUCGUAAUAAUGUAAACAUUGAACACUGACCUAAACAAAACUGUGAUAGAACAUCUGGAAGGUGCUUGAAUGUGAUGGGGUGGGUCGGGAGACCAGCAGGGGGAAAGAGCAACAGAGCCUCAUGUCCAUCUCAAGUAAACAGAGAAUGCCUGCCCCGAGAGAUGGAGCGUGCUGGUCGAAAUUGAGCAUGGUCCUUGGAAACAGAGAAACAUUCUUAGAUGAUCAGUGAAGACAAAGCGGUAGCUUCCUCCCAGGGGAUUAAGAAAUAAAGAGCUGGGGAUGAUUGUUUUUUGAUAUUAUGUUCAUAAAAACAUUUAAAUUUUCAAACUACAUACAUAUAAAAUUUUAAAUAAUGACUAAAAACUAAAACAAAAAAUAAUAACAACUGUCAAGAUUUAGCUCAGCCUAUGUUCAAAUGAUUUCAAAGGCAUCUAAAUGAAUAAAGUAUUCAUAACUCAUUGUCAUGAAUCUACCCCACAUUGGAUAGUUCUGGCAUGUCACUACUUCUUUAAAAUCUUCCAGUCUUAUUAGAGAAUUUGAGGAGCUUUGAAGCUUGGGGUGUUGGCUGUCUCUGGAGGAGGCAAUGUUCUCAUUCCCCGUGGGAAGACCAUCUCCCCUCCCCUAUUUUAGGAUGUCUCUUACCUUCCCUGGUUGAUGUGCAAAGCCCACACUACUCUGAAUAUCCCAAUGGCAGUGGUGCUGAUCGGGUGGUGGGGGCCGGCGGGGAAGUUCCAGCACAGGUGUGUGGUGAGGUCUAGCUCACAACACCUGCAGGCAGAUGUGGCCACAGGAGAUGAGAGGCCUUACUGGCUGAUGUGGGAGGCAACCUCUGGAGGCAAAGAGCAAAGAGUGCUUGGGAAAUGAAUCCACCCUGCAUUGCCCACAGUGAUUCCACACACCCUGUCACGUUCAGUGGGUGGCCCUGUGUUGGGAGGGGGCGGAAAUUGGGAGCUCGUAGUAUGAGGUAAAAGGUUUUCUAGUGAACAGUAUGAACUUUGGUCAGAGAUACAUAUCCCUGGGAUUGGCGCAUGGCCAAUGAGAUGGGAUUUCUGAAAGAAGGGCACACCUCUGAAGGCACUGGAGAGCUCAUCAGAGCCCUUUACUGAGAGGAUCUGGUGGAGGUGGAGUAGCCUGGUGUCGGGUCUGUCCGACACCUGUGCUCCUGGUCCUUCUAGGAUCCAUGCUGUGGCUUCCUGAUCUGAAAAGCCUGUAAAGGAACUGGGAUGUUCAUUUCCCAUGUCAACUUGACUAGCCACGGGGUGCCCAGAUAUUUGGCUAAACAUUAAUCUUCCUUCCUUCCUUCCUACUAAACUCAGGCUUUACUCAGAUUUGAUUUGCUUUUCACUUAGUUGUUUUCUUGUUCUGGGAUCCAAUCCAUGCUGCCAAACUACAUUGAACAUGUAUCGACCUUUGAGGAGAGAGACUAAGCACUAGAGUACGUAUAAUUCUACUUUAAGAAAUUGAAUUUGCCUAAACAUUAGGAAGGGGGUUGUACAUACAUCAACACAGUUCAUUGAAACAUUGAACUUUUUUUUGUGUGUGACAAAUAAAAUUUAGCCAAAUAAACCCAAGUCCUGGUCAGUAUAUGUACAUACACACAGAGUCAUACUGACAUUCCUAGAAGAAAUAUAAAAUACAGGAUUACAACAGAGGGAAACAAAGUCUGAAAUAACUUACCAAGGAUGUGCAAGAGACAAACAAGAAAAUGUAUCAUGAAAUUUGGCUUUUAAAAAUCAAUUGUCAACUUAAAUUUAAAAAAGAAAUAGCAGUCAAAGAGAGAUUCUCCAAAGAAUACUGGUAUUUAUUUGGGAAGAGUCACAAGGGGCGUCGCAGAGCACAGUAGAGGGAGUGCGGGGCUGUGGCAAACUACCGGCACAUUCAAAGAGGGUGAGGCCGGGGGAACUGUUUAAAGACAACAGUGAGUUACAUCAGAUGUUUUGAAACAAUGAUCCUUGGUCACAAAGACUGAUAACAAUUGUGGCUGAGGUUGAGACUAAUAACCAGUCAGUGUGGGUUGACGGACAGUUGCUGGGCAGACAUCCUUGCAGAAGCAGCCUCUACGUUUGGCCUCUGGGCAAAGCUGUGUUUUUGACCGUCUUUUGUGGUGGGUGCUACCAGGGACUCCUGCAUAACGACCCUUCCUUCAUAACCUUCCAGCUCUUACUCUUUUGUGUUUGGGUUGACACAAGCAACUCUAUUUUGAUUUUGACAGUUUUUAUAUUUCUUUCAUAAUUCUAAAAGUAUUUCUCUCAUAACUAUUUCAUAGAAUUGUGAAAGAAAUAUAAAAAUUGUCAAAUGUGCUUCUUUAGUAAUGGUAUUUUUUAUUCUGCUAAUGUGAGUUCAGUCAUUGUAAAAAAUAUACACAUUUUUUUUCUCUUAAGUAUAUUUUUUGCUCAGAUUAAGUAUUGUAUGUAUGGGACAUUUUGUCUUUCUCACAGGUAUGCAUGGAUUAAGCAUUACUUCUUAACGUCUGUGAGCACGUUUCCUGAUGCAAUGAGCAUGGGACUGAAUAAACUGGAUGAAGCAAACGGUUCUCCCACUGUGGGUGGGCUUCAGCCAACCAGAGGCCCAAGAGGGCACAGUGCUGAGUCAGGAAGCCCCCACUCUGUUCCAAGCCGGGCAUGGAUCUCCUGCCCUCAGCCUGACUUGCACAUCCAGUGUCCUGGGUCUUCAGUUUGCAGAGGGCAGGUCACAGGGCAUCUCAGCCACCAUGGUCAUGGGAAAUAUAUAGAUAUGUACAUGCUGGAGUUGGCUUAUGGCCAAUACACAGACAGAGAGAGAGAGAAAUGUCCCCCACCCACGUUGAGCUCAGUGCACUUUUCCUUCACACUGGGCAUGAGCUCAGAGGAUGCUAGGUCUCACCAUUUCAGGAACCCAAACACACAUCCAUUGUUUGUGAAUGAAUGAACCCGAGUCUACCCACGAGCCAGGAGAUGACCUUAGAGAGAGACUGUGGGAAUGUCGAGGAUCUCCCAGUCUCUAGCAGGUCUAAAUUUCCACAAAGAUCGGCCUUUUUGCUUUGUGUUGUUUCCUUUUUCCUCAUGAAGUUGAACAUAGCAGCCCAGAGAUUCCACUCUAAAUAUGAGGAGGAAAUAGAACUGGACAUAGGAUGAAACCUGCAUCUCGUGCACAUUUUUGAAGGGGGCAGUACUCACUCAGAUUAGUUCACUUUUAAAUUUCACCAUCAUGGACUCAAACUAUCAGUCCUUGUGCAUCACUAACGCAGUCAGCAGGGAGCGUCCUAGGCCUCGUGUGUGUUGGGACUUCUCAGAGCUGUGAUGGAGUCGCAGCCAGAGCUCCACUCCUGGGGGCCCACCUGCUCGCCUGGGCCUCGGGCUCCUUGUCCUCCUUCCUGAUCCUUCCUGCAUUUACUUCUCCCCAUUCGAACUUGCCCCACCUUCAGCUUCGACACCAGCCCUCAGCUGACCUCGUUCAAGCCCAGCCCUAUCGUGGAGUCACAGGUCACAGGAGUCCUCCUGGCCAGGCUUUCCUGCUGACCCUGACCAGCAGCUUUCUAAACCUCUGCUGCCAGUUUUUGAGUUUCCCUCCCUGGGAAGUCGAUUUGCCUCCCUGACCUUGCCGGUACACAGAGGCCAGCUUUAUUCUUCAGGCUGUAGUUCCCAAGCACUCCUCUGUGACAACUCUGGGGACCGGUGGAACUCAGGUUCAUGAGGGUCCUGCCCUGGGAGCAAAUGUUCCGCAGCACCCUCAGUAGGCAGAGGGUGGCACCUGGCUGGUUACCAGAGAAUCAAGGCAUGGACAGUAAGAGCCGAGGCCAGGUGAGCUAAGGUGGGGUGUCAGCUUUAAUCCGAGCCAGGAGUUCUCAGAAAAGCAACCCGCAGCCUUGUGAUGGCUCAAACAAACCCAUAAUUCAUACACGGCCUCCGACAAUUGUCCACAAGGAUCUGGCCACUCAGCAGGACACCAGGGAAGCAGGUGAGAAGCCAGGUCUCCAGCCACAAGCUGGGGUCAUCCCACCCACCAGCCCGCCUCCGGCUUCUGCCAGGCCUGGCCUCCAGACCAAUCUGGACAUGUCAGACCCUCGCUGAGAAAGAAAAAAGGACAAAUCCCACAAGAGGAGAACAUGAAGGAAAGAAAGAGCCUCCAGACUGUAGCUAGCUCAGGAGCUCUUGUUUCUUAGACUCCAUAAACAUCUGUCCAACUCCAGAUCUCUGGGCAGGUUCUCAAGAAACACUCCACUCACAUCUACUAAAACACCCCCAGAGAGCGUGGUCUGAUACUGAGAACUCCAGCUUGUAUAUCAUGGUCUCGUGUUUCCCAACUUGACAUACCACAGUGAACAUACCAACAUUAAACGCAGCCCUCUGCGUGUGUGGACGUCAAAGCUAAUCUGGCAUUUCCCUGGCACCUGCGGAAGUCAGGAACAUGUGCACCUUCCAGCAGCCUGCAACGGCAAGAGUGCUUUCACAUACUCUUAAGAUGCUUACUUCUCAGCACUCUGCCUAUGAGAGGGUGGCUAUGGUCCAGUGAAGGUGGGCCAUUUCCAAAGUCACAUCAUGGACGUGAGAAUGACAAGAACUCUGUAGCUUUUUUCCAGGUUCGUUACUGUUCAAGGUCAUGGGGUCCUCCCCCAGCACAAGACUGGUACAAGCCCAGUAGCAGCCUGCUGCAGCCUGCCACCCCACGAGCACCAGGAAAGGAGACCCUCCUUCCAGGAACUCAGCCCCCAUAGUGGGCAAAUCACUUGUGGGAUUUUCCUGUGACCCAGGUAAAUGCUGGUGGCUUUUCAUCUCACCCCAUAACACAAAAAAUAAUCCCCUUGGGAAAACCAUAUUAUUUUAAGCAAUAAAAAGCAUCAUUUGCAGGAAACAUUAGUCUCUCUCUCUCUCUCUCUCUCUCUUUGGUUGUGUAAUAAAAAUAGCUGAUGGUCUGAGGGAUGCUGGAGGGAGCCCAGAGAGACUGCAACACAAGUGAAUCAAAGUGUUUCUUGGCCUCCCCUAUUUUAAAAGGAGAGGGGGUGCUCAACUUAAAGGAAUGGCUGUGAGUUACAGAAUCUUGCAGCCAUGGGUAUGGGGAGGAGCCAAGAGCAGGAUCCCACCUGAGUCUCUCCACUCUGGCCCUGGCCCUGGAGACUUCUGCAGGAGCCCACAGCCUGCCUGACCACACCCUGGGACACAAAGUCUGUGUGCACCAGAACCACUUGUGAGUCAGGGGUGAGCCCUUCUCUUACAAGUUCCCAAAUGAGAACCACUAGGCCAGGCAUGUCUUUUGCAGGUGAUUUCCCCGUGGAGAGAAGCAGCCCCAGGCUUCGGUAUCACUCAUGACAUUGUCCAGCACUGGAUGUGACUGCGGUAUAGGAGCCAUUCCCAGCCCUCCCCAUCUCCUCUGUUCACUGACAUCAGGGAGCUCAGGCUGCCGUAACAGAAUACCACACCCGGGGGGCUCGAGAACAGCACUUAUUUCUCACAGUUCUGGAGGCUGGAAGUCAGAGAUCAGGGUGCUGGUGGUCGGGUCCCAGGAAGGCCCCUCCCAGGUGGCAGACUGUCACCUUUAGUUAUGUCUGCACGUGGAGGAGAGAGGGUUAGAGAGCUCCCUGGGAUGCUCAUAAGGCUACUGAGCCACCCAUGAGGGCGCCACCCUCAAAAUCCAACCACCCCCACAGCCCCCAAAACGCUACCACAAAAGAAUUUUGUAGGGACACAAGCAUUCCGUCCGCAAUCUGUAAUAACUGUGUUUAAUGUUAUUAAACAACAUCACUUCAGGAAAAGGGAAGACUCUGUUUCCUGACUUUUUCCAGCUCAGAGAGGUCCCUGUACUUCUUGGCCUUUACAAGGAAACAGUGCUCCCCUGGGUCUCCAGGAGGAAGAUCGUCCAGCCAUCGCCUGGGACUGGCCCACAGGACCCAUUUCAGACUGCUCCAGAACCUUCAGCUGGUUGUGUUGACUCAAGUGAAAAGUUAGCGUCCUAUUGCUGCAACAGAGGGACCUAGAACCACGAGUAGCCCAGUCCCACCCCAGCCCCAGCCAGCACCCAGCCUGGCUGUCCCCAGCAGGGGGAGCUGGCUGUGGUGAGCAGCUUUGCUGUGGGUCCCCUCACCCUGAGAGAUAGUCUGGUCCCGUCACCCCCCUUGCUGAACACAGAGCCUCAGGGACUCAGAAAGACCCUGUGCUAAUCUAGACAGAUUGAAUAUUGCGGGAAUUCUAGGACAGGAUUUUUCAGAUCUGGGAUAUGAGAUCUGAGGAAGUUUCCCUCCAGGGGGAACCCACUUCGAAUCUUCCAUCCUGCUGGGAGAGUAGGCUGGGUAGAGCACACCAAAGCAGGAGACUGAGUUAGGGACGAAGAGCCUUACUAACAAGACUGUCCAGUAACACUCUAACCACGACCUGCAGACAAGCCUACAUUAAGCACUCAGAACAGAAGAACUUGAUUCACAGCCAUUCACUGAAUGAGCCAAAAAUAAUUGCCGAGAGGCUUGGGCUAAGGCCAAGGAAAGCAGAAAACAAAGCCCGUGGAAGCACAUGAGACCUCCAAGUACACUCACUGAGAACUGCAGUCUGUCGCCCCGUCCUGCACCCCGUUUAGAAGGGAACCAAAAAGGAGGUAACAUCCAGCACCCCACAUGCUGGCCAAGAUGAGGGGUUUCCAAUGGCACAGAGUUUGGCCACUGCUCAGCCACUCUGUCCAGAAAUAUCAGGUGAUUCUUUUGGAGGUUGCAAAGAGUAGUGUGGUCCUAGGAAAAAGAACCAGGGAUCACGGAGCUGAAGUCUACCCACCAUUCCCCACUCAGCAAGCCCUGGAUGCCAGGGUGCCAUAUGUGGUGCUGGGUAACCAGGAUGCAAGGUGCAAGGGGCAGAUCCGGGCACCCCGUCUGAGGUACAGAAGGAAGUCGAGCUGCCAGAAAGAUGUAAAUGAUUCAUGGUAUAGCUGCUGCUCCACUCAGAUAGCCCCGUUGUCAGUGGAAAACGUUGAAUGUGAAAACAUAUUCCAUGCACUAAACCCACAGAACACCAAGCUUCUUACCACGGCCUACCUUAACCAAGCUCAGAACAGUCUCCUAACACAAGCCCUCUCCAUGAGAAAAUGUCAAGAAUCUCAUGAACGUAACUGAAAGUGAAACAGAGCUUGGGUGGACGCGCUUUCAAGCCCUCACAGAGUCCAGAGGUUGUGAGUGGGGACCAGGAAGGCCUUUGCUGGUUUGGGGCUGACUCUAGUUGCGCUGUGUCCAAGAGGCUGCCCAGAAGCUGCAGCAUCUGAACUGAGUCCUGUGGCACUAAAGAGGGCUGCCAGGUGGUAGGGGCUGUGGUUUUACGAUAGAGAAACAGCCGAGGAGCCGAAACAGCGCCCCUCUUCAGGAUCACAGUCCCGGGGCUCUUCCCCACUUCUGUCCUUGGCUGCCUGCCCAUGUUUCCUGCAGGGGAAGCUGCUUCCUGCCUCCUCCACACAGCCCUGUGCUCUAGGAGACUGCUUCUCCCUUCAACCCAGGUCCUGUCCUCAGCCCUCGCCUUCCCGGUCCCUGCAGGACCCAGCCACAUGCUGCCUCUGGGUCUCCUCUGUCAUGUUGGGGCCACCUCUCUUCCUGUGAAAAGGGAUAACCCACGUUUUUCACAAGCAGCAUUCCACCCUGACCAAGAGUGAGCAGCAUCAAGGAUUGGAACCAGACCACUUUGUAGGCUCCACCAGCCAAAGUGCUCACGCUGCACAGGACCACGUUCUUCCCAAGAAACCCCUCUGUGCAAGAAAAUAAAUCUCUGAGCAUGUGCAGCACCUCUGUACCUCAAGUCAGCUGGCAGAGCCCAGGAUGGAGGCUCAGUCUGCCUGGAGCCCCCUUCAGGGAAAGUCUGUCCCAUGUGUCCCCAUAGCUAAGUGGAGAAAAUGCUCUUCUAAUCAGCACUUUUUAGUGCAGUAAAAUGUACUUACCAUAGUAGGUAACUACAUUCAAAACCAUACAACUCAGAACAUUCACAUGUUGCACAGCAAUCAUGGCUACCUAGCUUCAGAACUUCGCCAUCACCUCAGAUGCAGACCUCAUACUCAGUAAGUAGUCGCGCCCACUACCCCUUCAUCUCUCCUCCUGCCUGUGAUGACCACUGAUCAGCCUCUGUCUCUGUGGAUUUGCUGACCCUGGACAUUUCGAGGCAGUGGAGUCCUGGGAUGCACCACCUUCCUGUCUGCGUUCUCUCUUUCCGCACAAUGUUUUUGUGGUUUGUGCAUGAGGUGACAUGGGCCAGCACUGCUCCCUCUACAGCUGGACAUUAUUCCAUGGUGGGGAUGUGCCACAUUUUGUUGGUUCGUCUGCUGAUGGCCGUUCGGGUUGUUUCCACCUCUUGGCUAUGGUGAACAAUGCUGCUGCUACAACAAGUCUACAAACACAGUCAAGCCCUGAACACCAACAUUUUGGUCAACAAUGAACUGCAAACAUGACAGUGGUCCUAAGAUCAUGUCACCUCGUGGGCUGUAGCCACCUGGGUUUAUAUAGAUACCCUCUACAGAGUUCACACAAUGAUAAAACCACCUAAGAGCUCACAGUGCAUCCCCAUCAUUAGGUGACCAUUCUUUUCAGUGUGUGCCUGGGGUGGAACUGCUGGGUUGUAUGAGGAUUCUGUGUUCGGGGUUUGAGGGACUGCCAAGCCAUCAUCCACGGCAGCUGCCCUGUGCAGGAUCUGAGGGGUCCAGCUUCUCCACAUCCUCACCGACACUUGCUCUUUUCUGGUUGUGCCUCUUGCCAUUAUGGUAGCCAGAGCAGUAGUGUCUUGUGGUUUGGGUUUGCAUUUCCCUGAUGACGACCAAUGUUGGAUAUCUUCUCACGUGCUAUUGGCUAUUCAUAUUCUUAUCAGCAAUUUUUUUCUUGAUUCGUAAAAAAAAACUAUUUAUAAAUUUGUUUCAAUAAGCGAUUAUACUAACAUCUAACGCUCAUUGAGCUAGUUCUGUGCAGCACACCCUGGGAUUCUUCCCAUGGAUUAAUCUAUUCAUGAAAGUCCUGGAUAUAAAUUUUCCUCUUUUUGUGGAUAAGAAAACUGAGUUGCAGACAGGUGAGAAAAGUUGCCCAAGUCACACAGCUAUAAGAAACUAGAGUUAGGCUUAGAUUCUAAGUGGGCUGCCUAAUAGACAAUUUUAAAAUGUUGCCCUUUCACCAUAUUCAGAGGUCAACUAGAGGAAAUUUUAUUUAAUCUAUGCCAGUUGUUUCAUUUUUUUUCUAAAAGAUAUGGAGUUAAAGCUCAUUUUGAGAACUUUUUCUUCAAUCAAAUAUGCAUCUAUCAUUAACCAUAAAGGAAAGGUGAGAGAAUGACCUCCCCAGAGAAAGCACCAAUUUUGCAAGAACUGGACUUUAUGUCAGAGGAGCAAUUGACUAAAUUCUCUAUUUCCAGGGAGGGAACAGAAAGGCUUGCUCCAUCAGUGUCUCCUAGCCUGUUUCUGUGUGUUCUCCUCAAGCUCCAAGAGAAAGCAGUGAGCAGACCUGCUGCACUUGCCUGCAGGGUUCCGGUUACUCCUCAGUACAGACAGGGCAGCAGUUUCCUCUCCUGCAGCUUCCCACCAAGGCAGGUAAUAAGUACCCAAGUUUAUCUUGAAUUAUAAUUGAGAAAAUCGAUAAAAUAAUAGGCUCUCUAGGUUCACAACUCAGCAGCAUCUGCUCAUCUGGAAAAGUAGGGAAAAAAUAAAAACAAGAAAGAGAUUAUAGGCACAAACCUAAAUUCCAGUUAAACAUCCCUCACCACCAAGUACAUGUGAGUGUCUAAUCAGGGGUUCUCUUCUGCAGGACAGCUUGGUUUUCCUUUGAGCCGUAUGAUGCAGUGUCGGCAAUGAGAGGGUUCUCGCACCACACAGACCAGCACUUCCCAACUUGGGAUCACAUGUCAUCUGUUUGUUACUUCUCAAGCCCAGUGCCUCCCAGGCCAAGCCACAUGUUGGUGCACGGACACACUCCCAGUGAGCUAAAUUGCAAGUCAGCUCAGCCUGGAGGCCAGACAUGGGAUGAAGGUGCCAUCUUGGAAGCAGAGGUCUUUGGGCGCCACCCAACCCAGAAGCAGAGCUGCCCCACUGGGCUCUGCAAACUCUGACACACAGAUUCUGUGAGCAUGAUAAAAAUAGCUGGUCGUUAUGCCACUAUGUUCAGGGUGGUUUUUACCAAGCAUAGCAGCCUGGAGGAAAAACGGACAACUGGGCAUAUUUUGUUAGAUUUAUUGCUGAAUAUUUCAUUCUCAUUGCUAUUGUAAAUAGCAUCUAAAUUUCUUCUUAAUUUUAAUAACUUCUUGAUUGAUUCUUUUUAUUAUUUAAUCAAUUAUGUUGGGGUUUGUUGUUGUUUUAAAAGGAUUUUUUUUUUGUAUAACUGAUUGUGACCCUUAAAGAAUAACUUCCCAUCCUCCAGGCCCCCUAUUCCCUCAUAACCACUAACCCAUCUUCUGCUUCUGUGAGUUGGACUUUUGUAGAUUCCAUGUGUAAAAUCCUGUGUUAUUUGUCUUUGUGGCACCUGGCUUAUUUCACUGAGUAUUAUGGCCUCUGGCUUCGUCCAAUAAGUUUUUGAAAUAAUAAAUUCUUUUGAUUUUUUUACUUGCACAAUAAAAUCAUCUGAAAUGAGAGUUUUAUUUCUUUCUUCCAGUGCUUGUAACUUUUCAUUUCUUUUUCUUGCAUUACUCCUUUGGCCAGGACCUCUGUCCAGCGCACACAGACUUCUUCCACCAGGAUACUAACAUGCAUUCUGAACUUUUAAAGAUCUAAAUGUUAACUCCAUUGCUCUGGAUGACAAGGCAUUAGGAACAGCCCUUCAGGCUUCCCCAAUGCAGGGACUCUGACCUCUGGGUUUCCUUUCAAGCAGUAAUGUUAGAAAAGGCAAAUGAGAGGACAAGGCAGAGAUUUAAGUAACCCCUGUAUGUGAAUUAUGACCUAACACUGGCUCCACCAAUGAGCAGUGUCCAGCAGCUGCCCCCAUUCAACAGUCACAACACUUUGUAGGCAUGGUUGGCCGGUGUCAACCUCUGGUUCUUUGCUGCUGGACUCCCAGGUUCAAACGCAUCUGCCAAAGUUACCCACGUUCCAGCUCCUCAGGUCCCACUAAAGUGCAGGGUGUGAACACUAGUUCUGGCACUGCCCUUAACUAAACAGACACAUUCAAGCUCCAAGAGAAAGCAGUGACAUUGCAUCCAGGUGGGCAGAACCAUUUGAAUAUUUCUGACGAACAAAAGGCAUACAAGCAGGAAAAGACUGGAAAUAACUUUGAUAAUAGGGAACAAGGUUGGCUUUUCUCCUGGGUGGUCUGGUUUGCUUGGACUUCCUAAUUCAGCUCCUUUAGAUCUUACUCGCUAAGCUAAAGGCCUUGACUUCCCUUCAUAAAGGCUCUCCCAGGAAUGCUCCUGGGAUUCACUUCUUCCUACUUAAAGUUAAAGUGAGUUAAAUUUUCCAUAUUCUCUGGAACAAAACCACUCCCUUAGAAUGUCUUCACUCCAAAUUCUUUCUUUCCCAUUAUUCAUGCUCUUAUUUAUUUAUUUAUUAUUUAUUUUUUCUUACUGGGGAUUUAACCUAGAAGCACUUAACCACUGAGCCACAUCCCCAGCCCUUUUUAAUUUUUUUUUUUUGAGGCAGGGCCUCACUAGGUUGCUUCAGGCAUUGCUAAAUUGGUGAGACUGGCUUUGAACUAGCAAUCCUCCUGCCUUAGCCUCCCAAACCUCUGGGAUUACAAGCAUGUGUCACCCACCAUGCCUCAUUCAUUUUUCUAUUAUUUUAAUUCCACCUUGCUCUUACAUUUCCCCAAAUUAGUCAUUUUUAAAGCCGAAGCCUAACCAUUUUUUCUACUGUGUGUUAAUAUUUGUUCCCUUUUGCGUCUUUCAUUACCCACUGUUCUUCAGGGGCUAAAUUCCCCUCUUACUGGACAUACCCCUAAGUCAUUCUUUCAGAGAGGGCUUGGCCUGGCAAACAUCUUAGGUUGGAAAUGUUUUUUUAUUUCAUCCUUAUCUUUGAAUGAUAAGCUAGCAGAGUAUGGAACUCUAUUUUAUUUUGAUUUAUAAAAAAUGUUAUUUACUGGCAUUAACAUCACUGAUGAGAAAUCUGUUUUUAGUCUAAUUGUCUUUGGGGAUGCUGGGUUUUUCCCCUUGCCAUUUGUUUUCUUUGAUACUUCUUAGUUUCAUUAUGGUGAGUUUAAGUUUGGUGUAGUUUUUGUUUUGCUUCAUUUCACUUAAUUUUAUUUUGUUUUUUAUUUGUGUGGUGCUGAGGGUUGAACCCAGGGCCUCCUGAAUGCCAGACCUGUGCUCCACCACAGAAAAGCACCCCUGCCCUGAGGAGUCGCUCUUAACAUCGUGUGCUUUUUUAACUUGAAGACUUAAGUCUUUUUUAAAUUCUAAAAAUUCUCUGUCUUUGUCUUGUCCAAUCUUGCACUUUCCUGUUCUCUGCAUUCCUCUCUUCCUGAGGAAACUGUGAGGGCUGGAUCCUGGACCCACUCCAUGCAUCCCUCAGGCACUCAUGAAGCUUCCUCCUGAGUCCCCAUUGCUCAGUGUCUUGCGGUCUCCGGGCUUCCCUUCCAGUUCACCAGCAAGCUGUGCCGUGGGAGGCCAAACUCGCAGUGAUUUGAGUUACCUCCCUGGCUGGGCGAGAGGCGCUUGGACGCAGCUGUCAGGGCUUUCCCCACCCUUCUCCAGGUCCGAGGGCUUGUCUGUGCAGAGGCGUGUCUGGCCACUACCCCAAAGACCCAAUCGUUGCCCCUGACCUUGGGAUGCUGCCCCCCUUAAUCUUCAUUGGAUGGGAUUUUCCCCAGAAUUUUUUGUUCCCCAAUAAAAGUCCACUCCCUGGCUUUCUCUCUCUCUCUCUCUCUCUCUCUCUCUCUCUCUCUCUCUCGCUGGCCUCUUCCACAAUAGGUGGCUGGAGGCUGGAGCUAGGAGGAGCCGUCCUGGAGCUGGUUUAAAGGUAAUUAGAGUCUCGUCUCUUUAAUUCAAAACUCCCUAGCGGUUUCUCACGUCUCGAAACUUCAUUCAUGAAGCCGGCGCAGGUGGCGGGCUAAACUCUGCCAUAGCACCUGGCCAUUGUCCACUGAGUGUUCAUCAGGACAGCCCCGUUUAUUAUCUCUAGAGUUUCUGUUCAUUCCUUUUUAAUCGACUUGCACUUUUUUUCAUGACCUCCUUGCUCUUUACAGAUCCCAGGCAUAUUUGCAUAGAUAGAUCACUUCCUGGGCGUGCUUUAUCUUAGCUGCUGAACCCAACCACUCACUUGUGCAUGGUCAUUGGUUCCCUUGCGUGAUGUAUGAACUGCCAGGUGAGCCACUUCCAUACACAGUGCUGCACCUGCCCUGGGAUGUGGGGCAUCUCUUGAAGUCCCAGUUCUGGACCAGUCCAUAUUUUAAUUUCUCAGUUUCAGGUCUCUGCGCCUCAUAUAUGAUGUAGAUUCAGACAACCUGCACGUGGCCCAGAAUUCUGCAGAAUAAGGCCUAAAGCGUGGGCAUGAUUCUGAGCUGUGUUCCCAAUCAGAUGGGCAGGGGUUUUUAGCCCCCAGCUCACAGUUCAGGCAGCCCUCCCUGGCUCCUCCCUGAUGCCAGAUGCCACCUCUGUGCUGUGUGGGGCCUGGGGUAGGGAGCGGACACCCAUGGACUCAAUUCCUUCCUUCCUGCAGUGGAAGCAUGUUGAGGACUUCACGGGGCGCGAAGCUCCAUCCUGACCUUUAGCUGGCUCUGGGUAUUCCUAAGUUUCAUUAUGGUGAGUUUAUGUUUGGAGUAGUUUUUUGUUUUGUUUCCUUUUACUUAAUUUUGCUUUGUUUUUUAUUUGUGUGGUACUGAAUUUCCAACCCAAUCUUAAUUUCUACAUGUUUUAUUACUAUUAUGGUUUGGAUAUGAGGUAUCUCCAAAACUCUCCUGGGUGAGACAAUGCAAUAAAUUUUAGAGGUGAAAUGAUCAGAUUAUGAGAUUCAUGACCUAAUCAGUGGAUUAACCCACUGAUAGGGAUUAACUGUGGUCACUGUAGGCAGCUGGGGCUGGAGGAGGUGAGUCCCUGGGGGAGUGGGGGUAUAUAUUUUGUCCCUGGUCAGUGGAGCUCUCUCUCGUCGCUUCCUUACUGCCGUGUCCCGGGCUCUUUUCUUGCCCCAGGUCCUUCUUCUCCGAUGCUCUGCCUCACCUGGGCCCUGAGCCAUGGAGUGGACCAGUAAGCACUGACCCUCUGAAUCUUCCAGCCUUAAAUAAGUUUUUCUUUUCUAUGUUGUUCUUGUCAGAUAUAUUGGUCACAGUGAUGCAAAAACCAACUAAAACAAUUACUUUAUCAAACAUUCUUGUGUGUUUCUAGAUGGUCCACCUAUAAGAGGUGGCCUCAGAAUUGGCUCCAUCUACCAGGUCAUGUGGACUGAACUCUGAGGUCAUGGGGCAGAGUAAGAAUUUCCAGGAGCUUGCCUAGCAUGUGCCAGGCCCUGGGUUCAAUCUCUAGAACACACACACACACACACACACAAAAAAAAUUAUCAAGUAAAAAAGUAACCAAGGCCAACUUGAAAGACUUGAAAGGCAAACCCAAAGAUGGCAUGCCCUAGUGCCAGCAGUUCAUUCUUCACCUGAAAGCUGUCAUUGUCCGCUGGACUGAGGACAGGACCAUCUCUGCCUCUCUCCUGCAGCAUGCCAGGCCCACCCACGGGCUCGAUCCUCGGACAGUAGCCCUGAUUCUCUCUAAUUCAUAUUACGUUUUUGAAGUAGGCAUGGUUUUCAUUCUAGUUUUUAAUGUGGUAAAAUACAUAUGGCAUAAAAUGACCAACUUAACCAUUUUAAGUGUAGAGCUCGGUGGCAUGAAAUACCUUCAUAAAGCCGCGCGACCCCACCUCCUUUCAGCUGGUAGAACUGAAAUUCUAUUCCCACCCAGCAAAUGCUGGCUCCUCACCCCACCCUGCAGCAACCACCAGCGGCCAUCUCUGCAUCGUACCUUCUCUAACUAGAAGGCAUCGUGUUCCAGCUGCCAUUAAAACUGCAGAGACUGCAGCGAAGGCCCUCGCCUAGGGUCGCUUCUACCCGAGGGCUCUGAAUCCAGUCCACCUGGGCCACUGCUGCUGCUCGGCUGUGGAGCCUUCGUAAAGUCCACGGAGUCCAUGAGCAGGGAGAGGAAAGAGACCUGGGAGGAAAGAUGCAGGGAUGGGAGAAGCUAACAGAAACGGAUUUUGAAUCACGUAGGGCAUUUUAUACCAACUAAACAAUCAAGAGAGCCUCAUUGGAGGGCGCCCAGUCCCGGGCGUUACGUGGCGUGGACAGCCUGGCAGGGGCACUGCAGAGGGACUCCCAGCUCCCAGAGCCACAGCCAAGUGGCUGUUCCCACCCUCGUUCUGGGCUGUUUUCUCAUCUCUCCAGCCUGCCAUUCAUUGGACUGCAAUGCCUCAUUUGAUGGAGCUGGUGACCCAGAUAGCUUCAAGUAGCUCUCUGCUCUGUGGGUGGCCAGUCCCUUGUGGGGGUGUCCAGUUACCAGCUGCAGACACUGGGUGACUUUUCCCUCCCACCAUGGGCUCUGCAAGUCCCCACCCCCACCCCAUCCCACCCCACUGUCAGGAUUAGGAGAUCUCAGCCCCUGCCCAUCCCCCACAGGGAGGAGGGGAGGACCCUUAGCCCCCUGGAGUGGGCAGUAGAAGCAGAGCAGAGGAGGAGGGCGGAGGUGGAUCAGCCUCAGCCUUCACUCAGGGACCCUGACUGACUGACAGGCAUGGAUGCUUGGCAUCCCCCAGGCCAGUGGGGCCAGCCGUGUGAAAUGUGCUCAGGCUGGGAGGCUGGAUUUGGAGCUGUCUUCCCUCAGCCACACACAGAGUUCUAUUCCCCAUAUCUAUGUGACAGGGAACCCCAGCAGAGGACAGGGCUGUGGGCCUCUACCCUGAGAUGCCCUCCUGCCUCCUCAGGCCCUCAUCUCAGCACCCAUGAGCUAGGUGACCCCCUCAGAGGGCAGUGGCCGAAGAACAAUCAAAAAGCUACAAUAGAAACUACCAGGAGGGGCUGGGGUUGUGGCUCAGCGGUAGAGGGCUUGCCUAUCACAUGUGAGGCCCUGGGUUCCAUCCUCAGCACCACAUAAAAAUGAAUAAAGAAAGGUAUUGUGUCCAGCUACAACUAAAAAUAAAUAAAUAUUUUUUAAAAAAGAAAGAAACUGGCAGGGAACAGCACCCAGGGGGCCGUCCUGUGCUGCAAGUCCUUGUGCUGAUGUCCUCCAAAGGCUUGGAGGGGCAGUUAACCUGCAGCAUGAACAAGACCUGCUCCUGUGGGUUGUGUCCACCUCCCUGCCCCUGCCUCCACUCCACAGCCCAGUGACGCUCCCAGGCCCUCCUGCCCCGAGAGGAGGCAGCAGCUUGCCAUCCUCUGGGCAAACAUGGUGUCCAACUGGCCAGAGGAAGGUCACCUGCCACCUGCCAGCUUUCUUCUGGGGUUUGCUUUGCACGUCAAUGGUUCACAAGUCAAAGGGCGUGAGCACUCAUGGAGGCCUUGGCUGACGUGGGCUGGCUGUCGUCACUGGCUGGGCAGGCUCUGGAGGUGGGUCCAUGACAGCACAAGGUGCUAGCUCCUUCGCUCACCUCCUGCCAGCCCUUCAGAAGCGGUUCCUCUGUCUCACACAGACUAGGAAGGGGAGCUGGGAGCAAGGCUGACACACCACGCGUGGUUCCAGGACCAGAGACCUGGUGUCACACCACUGAUGUCAACUCCCUCUGGUUUGGGUGAAGAGAGAGAGAAAUACAGCAAUCUUUCCUCCAUCAUGAAGGCAUCUUAACCAUCUUCAAUUUAACCUUUUAAAGCCUUUUGCAACUUACUUAGACAUUUUACAACUUUUUACUUUAUCACACAAAGAUUAUCUCAUCUAAAAACAUUUCUUUUUCUUAUAACCUUCCAUAUUAAAAUAUAUUUCCACAUCUUGAAUCUUUUUAUAUUUCUUUUUUCUUUUUUCCGCCAUGAAGGUAUCUCGACCACCUUCAAUUUAACCUUUUAAAGCCUUUUAAUUAUCAUCUAUACUGUACUUUUAAAUGUACUUUUCACCACCUACAACUUCACUCUUUUAAACGAGGCUUAGAUUCUGUUUAAAUCGCUUCAAUGUUAGUUUACAUGGCUGCCCUUCAACCAAAGGCUUUUUUUUUUUAACUCCAUUGAGAAGCUUUGUAUCAAUCUGCCUUGUACAAAUACCUUUUUUUGAUUUCUUCCUUUCUCAAGCUUUUAAAUUAAGUCUAGUUUCCUCAAAAUCUUUUUAAAUGGCAUUUUACAACUUUUUACUUUACCACACAGAGAUUAUCUCAUCUAGAAACAUUUCUUUCUUUUUUUUAACCUACCAUAUUAAAAUAUAUUUUCACAUCUUCAAUCUUUUAAUAUCUCUUUUGUAGCUGUUAACCCUUUUUAUAAAUUCACACUUUGAAACAACCCUUAUAAAAUUUCUGAUUUAGACAAAUUACUCCACUUUAAUAAGAUGAAAUACUUUCAUUUUUUUAAUGGUACUAUAAUACUAUAACUGAAACCCAACUGAAACUUCUUAUACUCUUUGUAUAUAAAUUACACAUGAUAGAAUCUUAACACUUAGUAACCUUGUUUUAGCAAAGACACAGACCAAAGCAAUAUUAAACCUUUUUCCAUUUACCAAUUUAUGAAAACACACAUGUUUAAAUAUAUUACCUUAUGGGACUUAAUAAGUAAAGAGUACUUGAUUUUAUAUUUAGUGGUUGAUUUAACACUUUACCUUUGUAAAUUAAUCAGAUGUCUGUAAAAACCAAGAUCUUAGACAAGUGUAGUAAACAGAACUAGCCAUCUUUUUCUUGAAGAAAAAUCCUUCUAUAGGAUACCAUGAUGGUCCCAUUGAUAUACUUAAUAACUCGUCUUUAAAAAGCCAUUUGCUACAUUUUUGUAUUUUAUCAACAUAUGCCUUAACUGUUCUUGGUCUUACUGGGGUGCCUCCUUUCUCUAACAAUUUCUCUUCCUCGGAGGCGAACAACUUCAAACCUUGAGUCAACCAUUUUCCCCAGUUUGCCUGAGAAAGUUCUAGGAACAGGCAACUUGAAAUAAAAACAAAAUAAAUCAAAACAAUAACACAUUGUUUUUUGAAAUGUUCACCCAUUCUUUCUCUCUUCCUCAAGGGUGAGAAAUUUCACUUACCUCUAAGCUUCAGAAGUUCCCCGUACGGGCCACCAAAUGCCGCAGUCUGGCUGGGCACAAAUGCCGCAGUCUGGCUGGGCACACAAUCACGAGCCACCACACAGCUUGUAGAUUCAAACAGCAACUCUUUAUUCCCGAACUCACACCAGCCGUCUACAAUCACGUUCUGGGGAAAUCCACGUUCUCUGCCCAAAUCCACCUCCACUGGGCUUCUAUCUCCCAAAUAUACUGUCUGAAUCCCGUGAGAACUCAAGGGGAACUCAGGCAGCAGGAUACGCCCUAUUCCCAGCAGGAAUAAUCUUAAACCUUAAACCUGGAACCUAAACUGGGAACGCCCUAAACCCGAUUAUCUUAAACCGGGAACACCCUAAUCCUCCUUGGUCCUUGAGCAAGGUCACCUACAUUCAAUGUCACUGCAACAUGGGGUACGCUGGCAAGGAAAUUGUCAUACCUACUUGGCUAAUGGCUCCCAGCAGGAAGGGGCCCUUAUCACUCCCACUCAGAGCUGUUACCAGAGGAGCUGGGAGGUCUCCUCACUGCCUUGCUCUUCCCACAGGGUGGCAGGACUUAGUGUGUCGAAAUACCAAUUCUCGGGUCUUCACGUCACGCACAGAGAAGCUGUCAGCGCAGCCACGGGGACAAGUUCACAGUGGUCACUUCAUAGGAAAGGCAAGGCCUGAGAAGGCUGAAGUCAUCACCUCUGUUCAGAGCGCUCAGCUGAGAACGCUGCCGCACCCCUAGCCAAGUGCCAGGCUGGUGGUGGGCGCUGGGGCCCAGAGACAGACGAGGCCGUUCUCUGCCCUGCUGGAAGAAUGACCAGACGAUGCUCUCUGCCAAGAGUUUCUGAGGGACGAUGGUGCCUGACCCGCGACGGGGAAGCUGAGGCACAGCACAGCAGGGUGUCGAGGUGCUGGCCGUCUCUGUGCUCUUUACCGCCAGGCUUUACAGUGUCGGACUCCGGGAGGGUUAGGAGCGCCAGAUCCUACUUCACAGACAAAAGCAAGAAAAGACAGAGCCAGACCCUGCGUUUCCUUCAGGUUAACCUCGGGCCGGCAGCAGCUUUCACACUCCUGGCCUCCAAGGCCAGCUGUUCCCUGGGCCGUUCCAUGAGCAUGUCCUACUGUGAGCCCAACCCCAGGACUGCUGCAUUCAAGAGCAGAUCGGGAUUGUGCCAGCAAGGACAGGAGACUGGCUCUUCAGGGGCCGGUUCCACAGGUGGCCACUGGGCAAAAGGUGCCUGAGAUCCUGCCCCUCUGCAGGGCUGUGCCCUUCCCAGGGCCUCCUCUUGGCUUACACACUAUUCACACAGCUCAUUUUCCCUCUGGAAAUCUCACAAGAGAGGGAACACAUUCCCACACUCAGAGGAGGGGUCACAGAAACGCAUUUCCAAGCCGUUCUGAGCAUCAGCAGCUCAAAGGGGUUUUUCAUCUUAAAUGACUUUAUUUGGUGUCAAAGACAAAAACAUUAUUAUUCACUCUGGCUUUAAUGAAAGAAUGUCUCUUUUUUAAAAUACAGUUAUUUAAGUUCAAUAACUCUAUUCAGGAUCUUGAUGUCCUUUUAAACCCCGCCUCCCUCAGCCCUCCUUCAGGACCCUGUCAAAGGCUCCUGGUGAUCUGUAAUCUGCUAGUCUGUAUUUUAAUAUCUGCAGCUGUGAAGCUGAGAAACGCCCUCAGUUGGCAUUAGUGAAAGUCGGCUUCCAGGGGGGAUGAAGUUUCCCCACAGCGUGAUUUUAGGUUAAAGAGCAAAAUAAACAAAGUGAGGAUUUUGAGAGUUUCCUUUUGGGACCAUGAAACCUCCCUGUGGACAUGACCUUUGUGCACAGGUACAGAGAUGCUGAUAAUAACUAAUACACGUCUCCGGGUCUCCGUCCUUCUUUUGUGUCCCUCAAAGAGAUGCAAAAGUGAACAGCUCAGUGGUGGCUUCUUACCGUUCCUCGAAGCAUCUCUGCAAGGGCAGGUGACAGCACCCCUCCCUGGCUCUCCUCUGCCCUUUCCCUACAACCCUUCUGCACUUCGCUUUGUGUUCUCAGACCUGGGAGUUGACUGACUCUCUCCAACCAAACUCCCAAGGCCACCCAGCUGGUUUUAGUUGCCCUCAGGAGGUGACUGAACCUGUCAGUCGCCUGCAUUUGACCCUUUCAUCCAGACUAAGGUGCACGGUAGAUGACCAAUGAGUUCCCCAAAGACCUCUGAGUCCUGAUCCCUAAUGCCCCUGAAGGCCCAUGUCUGUGCCUGUGACUGUGAAUGUUUUGCAGAUGUGAUUAAGGGCUCUGAGACAGGAAGAUUGUCCUACAUAAUCUGGGUGGGCCUAAGCAUAACCAAUGUCCUCAUGAGAGGGAGGUGACGUGAUCAUGGAGGCAGAGCUUGGAGUGAUGGGGACACAGGCCUCGGAACACCUGCAGAAGCCGGAAAGGCGAGGAGAGAUUGCACCCUGGAGCUCCCAGAGGACCCGCCCUGCGGACACCAUGACCCCAGACCAGUGGGGCUGACUGGGACUCUUGGCCAUCAGAGCUGUAAGGAAGUGAAUUCCUGUGGCUUAAAGCCAUUAAACUUGUGGUGACUUUUUAUUGCAGCUAUGGGGAAGUGGUGUGGGAGAAUGACAAAAGUCAGGUCUCCUGAAUCACGCUGUUUGCUAUUGUAUAGGGCAGUCCUAGGACCAGGAAUCCAUGUGCAGUUUGUGGCAGAGUGAGGGACGGGUUUGUGAGUGGACGUUUUCCACCCACUCUGACUGGCCCUGCCUUGGUUUUCUAGUGUAAAACUUGGAACCCCAGGUCUCCCGGAGGAACUAUACCCAAAUCAUUCUGAACAGGUUAGGGUUAGAUAGUUUUGAAAGGUGUCCCAGGUGAUCCCUUAUUUUCCAACACCGACAUCUGACAAAUCAACCUCACUAAGCAUCAGAAUCCCACGAGAAGUUUUUUUCUGAAACGCCAAAUCCAUUGACAUCCCUGGAGAUUUCGAUGGAGGAAAUUUGGGAGGAGCCUGCGCCUUUGCAUUUUUAAACAGUUCCCUUGGCGAUUGCUAUCGUUGGGAUUUUAAAUGCCCCUGAAGGCCCUAGUCUUAAAGGCCUGGUCCCCAGGCGGUCUUUUAGAGGCAGGGUCCAGCAGGAGGGCUUCAGGCCAUGGGGCAUGCUGUGUAAGGGGACCGUGAGACCAGGGGCCUUCCUCCUGCUCUGUGUGCUUACUCAGCCUGGGGUAAGUGGUCCUGCUGCGCUGUGUUCUCAGGACACGCUGCCUUGCCCCAGGCCCAGGUGGACAGAUGGUGGACCACAACCUCCAAAAUGUGAACCAAAAUAAACCUUUUCUCUUUAGAAGUUGAUUGUCCUGGGUGUCAUUCUAGUAACAGAGAGCUGACCAGCACAGUGAUCUCCUGGCCAGUGGUCUAGGGAGGUUCUGAGGUGCAUGCCCAGCGCCCCAGAGGCUUUCUCCCCUGCGGGAGCCAGGACCCGGCUGUUUUCAUAGUGACUUUACAUGCCUGACACUGGUACAGACUGACUAAUAUUUAAUAAUCUUAAUCUGGGGAUGCAGCUCAGUGGUAGGAGGCUUGCCAAGCAUUCACGAAGCCCUGGGGCAGAAGGAAGGAAGCUUUUCAUUUGUUUAUGAUCCCCCUAUCUCUAGUGCUCAAGAAAUAUUGUCUAAAUUAUGCCUAUCUUGCCUUUCCCUCAAGGCAGAAUUUCACAAUUGAUUCCAGAGCAGGGUAACAGCUGUGGCAAAGAGACACAUCAGUCACCUCACUAUGGUGACGUCAUGGGCCAAGCCUCUGGGAGGGAGCAGGGGACCUGGAGAGUCGUCUAGAGGAGAUAGGAAGGGCCUUGGGGGGAAAGGGGCCAUCUGCCUGGUGGAGGAGCUGGGGAGAAGUGCCGGCCCCCAGACCCCAGUAGAUGGUCUACUUUUAUCCACUGCAGUCCCCCACUUGAGUCAGUGAAGCCAUGGAGAGGGUUCAGGUAGAGCUGACGGUGACCGUCCAGCGCCUGCCAUCCGUGUUGCUGUGCGGUGAUCUCCGCUGGAACCCCGCAGGCGCAGGCCGCAGAGCGGACCUGGAGCUCCCCAUGGACUCCCUCGCCUGCUCCUGCACCUGCUCCCCCACUGUUUACUUGCACCUCUAGUUUUUCGUUCCGAGCCCAUUUCUUUGUUUAGUCCCCAAUAAACCUUCUUUUAUUGAUUUCCAUUUAUAAUUUCCAAGGAAUUAGCAGCCUUAAUGUCAAUUUCAAUUUCCAAAGUUGGUAGCGAUUGAGAAAAGUGCUUUCCUCGGGUCGAUACUUCUCCUGACUUGAUUUGGAGCUGUUAACAAUGACCUGCGUAUGAUUUCAUUGGGAAGAGUAGCAGGGACCAACAGAGGGCAAUCUGUGGAUAUGAACCUGCUGUUUCUCCCUGACACAGGUCUUUAUGGAAAGGCCGAGUGCUCAGCGUCAGAAGGUGGCCCUUCCAUACUGCGUCCCCACUGGCCACUAAGCUCAUUGUCACAUCACCAGCAGCCAGCCCCAGUGGGCAGGAGGCACUUCAAGGACUCGUUCUGCUGACCACGUAUCGACACUCACUUCCCUCUCGCUGAUCUCAAAUCGACACUCUGCUGCCCAUUUCAGCAGUUUUCUCAGCAUUAUAAGCAGUUCACUGUCACUAGUCGACUUAUUGGGGUCCCCUGUCUUAGGGGGGUUGUGCUCCCAACAGGGCAGCCAGUCACUCCCUGCACUGCUGCCCUCUGACCCUGGGAGGAGCCUUCUCCAUCCUACAUUGCUCCCAAGACCCCGGCCCCUGCCUCAGGGCCAGCACAGCAGAGGAUGGGGGAGGUGUUGGCAGAAUGAGGUUGUCCUGAAGGGUUAGAACAAUGAGAGGGGGUUUAAGGGAGAAGACAAAGACUGUGCACAGUGCAGAGCAGAACGGCCUCCAGGUCCAGGAAGAAGGCUCUAGGGAAAGGCAAGACCCUGCCAGCUCCCACUCUCCUGGAGACAGCCUCGCCUCCUCAGCACCUGGGACUGUCGCCAGACCACGCCCCGGGGUGCCGAGCACUCUGGGCUGUGCGGGCUCACCCCAGCAAGGCCCCUCGCCCCCCUCCCCAGCCUGUCUCUUUCCAUCCAGCUGGCACUGCCCGGUAGAACAUUUACACACACGCACACGCACACACACUCCCAGUUCAACCAACAGAGUCAAAAACCUGGAAGGUGCAAACCCUGUCCUAGGACUCCACACCUCAAGACCAGGAGUACCUGUGUCAGGCCCGAGUGCCACCCGCCUUGGCCACUGUGGAAGUUUUCACCCACCACAACCACCCAAACCCUUCAGAUUAUGUCCCUUUGAACCAGCCAGGAGUAAGGAAUAGGAUCAUUUCUGAGCCAUCUGGCAGCUUCAUUAACCUCACAAAGACUUGAGUAAAGGCCUAGGAGACAGCACCCCCGCCCCCCCUGCAGCUGGAGGCCAAGGAGAGGGGUGGAAAAUCAGGGGAUGAAACGAGAUUGUUCCUUCACUUACACUAGGGCUCUACCCCAGUCGCCCACCCCUGCUCUCCCUGCCAGGAACACUGAGUGUUCUGCAAGCUUCUGGGCUGAUUGGCUCCAGCACUGCUUUAUGAAGACGUGGCACCCAGCUGCAAAACCUCUCUAUGUCAUCUAUACUUUUGGCUCCUCUAUGGAGGUUGUGUCUCAAAAGUAGUACCAUCUGACUUUUUCUUUGCAGAAUAGCCUCAGUGUGAGUUUUUGUUUUUUGUAUUUUUUUUUUAGAGAGAGAGAGAAUUUUAAUAUUUAUUUUUUUUAGUUUUUGGUGGACACAACAUCUUUGUUUGUAUGUGGGGCUGAGGAUCGAACCUGGGCUGCACGCAUGCCAGGGGAGCGCGCUACCACUUGAGCCACAUCCCCAGCCCGAGCUUUUUUCUUUUUUUUUUUCAAGAAAAUACUACCAUCGUAUAGCUAGACGAUUGAUAGAUGGUUGAUUUAUUCAUUGAUUGAUGGUGAAUAGAGAGAGACGAUAGGAAGGUGGAUGGGUGGUGAUGAGUCAGUCUGUUGAUAGAUGGCUUAAUGACAGUCACUCUCUCCGAACCUAACACCUUCCAGCUGUUCUCUUUGCAGGCACCUGAGCCUUGCAGCCAUCUGAGAGUUGAAGAUGGGCCUCCUGCUUUCAUCUUCAGACUCUGCUGUUCCAUCACACUGGGAGGAGAUGCUGCAUUGACAACUUCAUCUGGGACCUCAGACCCACGUGUUCCAAGGAAAGUCCACCGGAGAAUGUGAUGAGCCCAUGUGGACCCUUGGAAGCAGCAGCAGGAACAGCUGUCUUCUGAGGCCCCUGCCAAGGGGCCUGAGAUUCAUGCACCAGAGACCUAAAGUAGAGAUUUCUCACCCACCCUGCCGUGAACCUUCCAAGUCACCAUAUGGCGCUUCCUGUUCUCCUGUGAGCCCCUCCCAUGAUGGUCCCUGGUGGGGAGGCCACAGCCCUAGGAAGGUUUGAGAACAGAGUCGUAGAAUGGAUCCAAGAACAAACGGUAUGGCCAAGACACAGAUGUGCUCCUGCACCCUUCCAGCAGACCCUCACACCAGCCCAGGCUGGACCCAAAAGGCCUGAGCAGUCCUCUUCUCUUUCGAGGGGGGUUUAGGAUAGAUGGCUCUGUCAGAGUCUUUCUCACGGUUUGGGAAUAAACAUACUUUCUCAGUACCCUCAAGCAGGAAAAUCUAAAGCAAGCAAUGCAAAAGCAAGUAUCAAAGACUCCAACAAUACUUCCUGAUGAACAACUUCCACGAAUUUUUCAGACCUGCUUUCUUUGCCUGAUAUAUCUGAGUUUUCUGCCUGAGGGUGAAAAAGCUGUCACCAAUGCAGUGUCCUUGAUCAAUUACCCUGCAACAGAAACCACAAAACCACAAGCUCACCCCAUCCUGGAGAAAGGAAGGGAACAUGUCACCAUUUCUACUUAUAUUAGGAUAUGGUUCCACAUAUCUUUGUUACCUGCUUGAACCUCCCUUAAGAAGGAAAAGAAGGAGAUCAUUUGCCUCAGAAACUGCUAAAUGUAAGGAAAAGGCCCUAUCAGUGGUCAAAUUCCAUCCAGAUGACAUACUUGGCCCAGUGGUGCCUUGAAUUUUAAAGCAUUUCAGAAGGAGCAGCAGUUCACAUAAGAGUUUUCUCUCUGGCUGUGGGUGUAGCAUGCCCUAGAAGCCGUGUUGGUGCAGGGUCACACUGGGGAGUCCCUGGAACCAUGCAGUCGGCCCCUCACGUGAGAGAAGAUCCCUCUGCCCUCCCGCAGGGCUGGGGAACACAUCUUCUGAGCAUGGCAGGGCAGCUUGGCUUUCCAGACUCAGGACAGUUCACACCAAGCAUGGGGCAAAAAUAACCUCGAUUUUUAUAGUCUAGUAUUUUUUUUCCAAAGCCUUGGCCCAUAAUCUUAUUAAAUGUAACGGUUCAAAAUAAGUUUCUCUGGGAAACUUUGAAAACUAGGCAGCAAGAAAGCCACCGACGAAGUCUGACAUGGUUCCUCUGCUGACCCCCUGGAAGUCGAUGUUCCCAGUCCCCCUCUCCGGGAAGGGAUGUUUCCUUGAUCUCUCUGCCUGAAUGAGGACAGACAGCCACACUUAGCUUGUUGGAAACUCAGCGAGCUCCUGAGUCUCUGUGAACAACGACCCACCUGUUGUCUCAGUCCGCAGACGGCCUCUGCUCUGGGCAGAAGAUGUGGCAGAUCAUGGCAGAAGAGUAUGGCGGAGGAAAGUGGCUCAGAACAGAGCACUGGGUAGGGGAGACAGAGAGAGAAACUCUCCUCGCCACGGACAAAAUAUAUACCCGUAAGACAGCUCCCAGUGGCCCACCUCCGCCAGCUGUUACCGCUGUUUACCGGUGAGGAGUCCUUGCUUCCCCGAAUGCUGAAGUAUAACACCAGAGAAGCAGCAGAGGCAAGGGUAGAGUGGACAGUGGAAGCUUUAUUAAAGGACAGCAGAAGAGACUUCUCCCCGGAGGAAGAAGGGGGCCCGGAAGGCGGAAUCUGUGGAAGGGGGAGUCUUCCCUGUUUUAUAGCUAAGAUCUUCCUUCAGCUUGCCCACCCUCCUGACCUUUGUUUCCCGUUAUCCUGAGUGAUAGAAUGCAGGUGGGAAGGCCCAAAGGUGGGAGGGAGAAGGGCUGGAGGAGUAAUCUGGGCAGGAAGGGCCUGUUUGCUGGGAGCUGCUUCAUUAACAGUUCCUUAGGAUGGGCUCCGGGCCUUGGGGACGUUAACAUUUCAAUUUCCCCAAAUGCUACUCUGGUUUCCUGGACUCCUGCCAUUCUCUAUAACGGCCUCCAUUUUCUUUUUCUUACUGGAUAUUAGACCUGAUUUACCUAACUGCACUAACUACCUAUCUGUAAAUCUGGCUUCACAGCCACACCCUAUCUGCCUAGAGUUACCACCCAGUUAAUCCCUGUCAGGGUAAGGAUUAAUUCACUGAUUUAAGGCUCUCAUUUGCCGCAGUCUGGCUGGGCACAAAUGCCGCAGUCUGGCUGGGCACAAAAUCACGAGCCACCACACAGCUUGUAGAUUCAAACAGCAACUCUUUAUUCCCGAACUCACACCAGCCGUCUACAAUCACGUUCUGGGGAAAUCCACGUUCUCUUCCCAAAUCCACCUCCACUGGGCUUCUAUCUCCAAAAUAUACUGUCUGAAUCCCGUGAGAACUCAAGGGGAACUCAGGCAGCAGGAUACGCCCUAUUCCCAGCAGGAAUAAUCUUAAACCUUAAACCUGGAACCUAAACUGGGAACGCCCUAAACACGAUUAUCUUAAAACCGGGAACACCCUAAUCUGCCUUGGUCCUUGAGCAAGGUCACGUACAUUCAAUGUCACUGCAACAUGGGGUACGCUGGCAAGGAAAUUGUCAUACCUACUUGGCUAAUGGCUCCCAGCAUUCAUUACCCAGUCAUUUCUCCUCUGAACCUUCUUGCAUUGUCUCACACAUGAGGGAAACCGUAACACGGCCUUUGCCCGGGCUGUGUCCCUGUAGACAGCCCUCUGACAGCCCUAGCCCUGCCCAUUCCACCCCUGCAUGUCCAGCAUGCCACCCACCUGGCCCUCCUUCUCCAGAGCACUCUCCAGGCUUUAACAUGCGUCCGUCACUAUGCCAACACGGUUCUCACUCUUGGUCAUUUAUUAUCCUCCUCCCUGGCCUCUCUGACCCCAGUGUCUGUUCCUUGUGGUGGAGGGUUUUUGUGUGUCCUUCUCACUGACCUAUCCCCAGGUGAUGAGCACACUAGGUAUUCAAUUACAUGUUGGGUGAACAAAGUUUUGAGGAGGGACAUCAGAGCAUCAGGUUUACACUUAAAACCACUUACUCUGGCUGUGACCACAGCCCUGGACUUUCCCACUGAAGGGUCAGUUUGUGGAGGCUGGUGACAAAGCUGCCACCUCAGUCCAGAUGUGACAGCAGGGCUGGGUCAGGUGUGUGGAGGCGAACAACGGCAGGCAGAUUGGGCCACUCCAGGUUCGGGUAGAAACUCCAGCAGGGCAGGAGAGUGGUAAGGACACCUUGGCCAGUGCUGGUGGCAGACAGAAGCAAGACAGAUGCGAGCUGAGCCCCACUGUGGGCUUGGGCCAUGUUGCUGGCCUCAGCAGGCUGGUGUCCAGCAUAGACUUAGGCAAUGCCAGCAUUUUUUUUUUUUUUUUUUUUUUUGGCCACUGGUUGUGGUUCUCAAAGCAGAUUCCUUUUGUCUCACCAUGGAUAGAAAAUCUCCAGCGACUCAAUCGACUGAGAAGUCUGAUGUCCCAGGCUGCUGCCCACAGCUGACCAGGAGUGAGAAAGCAUCCCGUCCAGUAGCCCAGGAGCGCAGGUUGCAUUCCUGCCCUUCCUCCAGGUGACCAGAGCACUGCUGGUGUCCAGGGACAUGUCAUCCUACUGAAGAGGAGAACUGGGCCUUUCUCCUCCCAAGAGGCUGCACAGGUACUUGGUUAUGAAAAGCAGAAUGUGUUGAUUUCUUCCAGGCUAUCAGUUGCUCUCGGUGGAGACGUUGCUUUGGUAACUGCUCCGUCUUGGGAUUUCCCAGCCACCACUGGUGAAUUAGAGCCACACUCUCACAACUCAGGUGAGCUAGAUCCUAUUAACGGGCCUGUCUUCUCGCCCCUCCCUAGCUGUGGUAGCCAGAACCUCUUGUCCCGACGUUUGUGAAUGUGGGAGAGUUGGUUUCCUUUCCGACACAGUUCUGACUCACCGGGGCCCUACCCCCUCCGCCCCAGUUCUUCCACACGGUAUCUGAGCGCAGUGGCCAUCUGCAGCGGGGUCUCCACUGUGUACCCCAACUCCACUCUCACAACUGCACCCCAUUAGUCUUGCAUGUCAAGGUGUCAGCCCACCCUCUCCCUCCCUGUGCCUGUCUAGAAUCCUCUGUCACUCCCACUUGGAGUGAGGGAGCUUUGCUGUCCAGAGGGACAAGCUGGUCCCACCCCGUCCACCACAGUGUCUGUGCUCCCGGGUACCAGCGGAUCCCACUGAAGUCUCUGAAAGCCUCCUCUGCAGCUGCUGGCCAUGGGCUUUGUUCUGUGCUGUGAGCCUCCUAUGGCCACAGCCCAUUGCUGGUCUGGCGCCCUGAGCAGGCGGGCCAGGUGCGUACCUGUGGGAGUUCUCUGGGCCCCUCCAUCCUGGCCAGGGCAGAGCUGAAGACCACAGAGGCUGGGCAGGCGCGUGGCUGUGAGAGAAAUUUUGAGCCUUCAAAAGGCAGGAGGGAGGCACCUAGAACCCCCGCCUCUCUGGGUCAGGACUCAGAACGGAACCUAGCUAGUUAGGAGCCCUGGGCCUUCUUCCUGCCAUCUGGUGAGCCUGGGGAGCAGCACUGCACAGCAGAGGGACUGUCCUGGUGGUGGUGACGAUGACUGUGACCCCGCCAGUCACGCCUCUUAGGCCUGGCACUCUCUCCUUUGUGAUGGUGAUUGCAAGUGUGUUUGAUGUGUUUAUGUGUGGGCAUGUGCUGUGUGUGUGUAUGCGUGGGCAUGUGCUAUGUGUGUGCACAUGUGUGGCCAUGUGCUGUGUGUGUGUAUGUGUGGGCAUGUGCUGUGUGUGCAUAUGUGUGGGCAUGUGCUGUGUGUGUGUAUGUGUGGGCAUGUGCUAUGUGUGUGCACAUGUGUGGGCAUGUGCUGUGUGUGCGUAUGUGUGGGCAUGUGCUGUGUGUGCGUAUGUGUGGGCAUGUGCUAUGUGUGUGCACAUGUGUGGGCAUGUGCUAUGUGUGUGCACAUGUGUGGCCAUGUGCUGUGUGUGUGUAUGUGUGGGCAUGUGCUGUGUGUGUGCAUAUGUGUGGGCAUGUGCUGUGUGUGUGUAUGUGUGGGCAUGUGCUGUGUCUGUGUCUGUGUGGGCACGUGCUAUGUGUGUGCACAUGUGUGGGCAUGUGCUGUGUCUGUGUCUGUGUGGGCAUGUGCUAUGUGUGUGCACAUGUGUGGCCAUGUGCUGUGUGUGUGUAUGUGUGGGCAUGUGCUGUGUCUGUGUCUGUGUGGGCAUGUGCUAUGUGUGUGCACAUGUGUGGGCAUGUGCUGUGUGUGUGUAUGUGUGGGCAUGUGCUGUGUCUGUGUCUGUGUGGGCAUGUGCUGUGUGUGUGCACAUGUGUGGUUAUGUGCUGUGUGUGUGUAUGUGUGGGCAUGUGCUAUGUGUGUGCACAUGUGUGGGCAUAUGCUGUGUGUGUGUAUGUGUGGGCAUGUGCUGUGAGUGUGAAUGUGGGUGUGAGUGUGUACUGAGACUUUAUGUGUGAGUGCACCUGUGUGUAUGUGUCUGUGUGUGCACGUGUCUCUAUGUGUGGGUGUGUGCGGUGUGAGUGUAUGUGUGUGAGCAGGACUGAACACAUGUGAGUGUGAGUGUGUGUGUGUGUGUGAGUGUGUAAGGCAGGUCUUUGGUCUGACCUCUGCUCACUGUUUAUGACACCCUCGCAGCUUGGAUGUUAGCAGUCAGGUUUCUUCUGUUACCGCCCAAGCUCAGAGACAUGGCUCUCACGAUGGUGUCUCACUGAAUAUGCUUCUGUCCUGGGUGGAACCCCCUCCCCGUCUCAGGGAAGACUCCUCCAGUGCACCCCAUCCUUGGUGAAGUGGUAAAUUUUAAGUCACGUGUAUUUUGCUCCAAGCAGAAGGAAACAUGUCGAGUUGCCCUUACUCUCCAAGCACAGCUAAAGCAUUCCUGCCCCUUUUCAACCGUUGCUAUGGAAAUUGACCCUUGUGUGAAACCUCGUGGGCAAUGUACCCCACACACAAAGUGCCGCAGAGGAGUGCUGGCCAACUCAGGCAGUCACAAGUUGCUCCUAGACGCCGCACCACUGGCCCUCCUGAACUGCAGGCCACGCAGGGGCACUCUGGAGACUCCACAGAAAGGAGGCCCUGGAGGCCCCCGAUGCCCUCGCUGCUGUCAGCAGCCCCCACCCCAGCAGUGCUGAGCGCCUGGCGUCCCUCCCACAUGGAGGGUUGUGCCUCCGGAGGUCGCAAGGACCUCAAGGACACACACCCUGGUCUCAGCAGACAGCUGGGCCACUGUGGUCCGCGGAGAAAAAUGGCGAAAUUCGAGAUUCAGCAGGAGGAGGCCAGAAGGAGACGGGAGCGUUGAUGAAGAGCACCCACGUGAGGACUCGGCAGCCCGCACCCGACCACUCGCCUGUUUCAUCUCCUGUCUUCAAAGAGGCGCCAGGACGUGGGAGAGGAUGAAAGGGAAAGUGAUGAAAGAAAAUGGCACCACAGAGGCUUGAAGGGCUGAGACGGCGGAGGGGAGGCUGGGAGCCGGCUGGUGGCAGCCUGCAAGUCAGCUGCUCCCGUCUCAGGGACCCCACGCUCUCCUCCGCGCUCUGGAAGACAUGGCUCUAAAGAAGGGGGUGUGGCCCUGAUCCGGGUCUUCCCAGUGCACAAGCAGCUCUAGAGUCCCCAUCUCUGCACCUGCUGGGAAUCAGGGGCAGACAGGAGCGUGCAGGGCCCAGCCUCCCUCCUCACUCCUGGGCACUCAGACAAAAAGGCCUGUGUGUGUCCAAAGGGACAGGUGAAGGCCCACGAGGGCCCCUGAGCUGUGGACAUGGUCCUGCACCAUCAUGGAGAUGCGGGUUUAGCUGUGACAGCUUGUGAAUGGGCUGGAGUUCCCCUUGGCCCAGACCAGGGAGUCCCAGAGGAAACCUAUGCAGCUGUUCCCUGAUCUCCCGCCUCCUGCGGAGUCUUGUUUGCUCCCUGCAGGACAUUUGCACACUCUUUUCACACUGAGGCCAGGGAAGGUCUAAAGUCACAAGAGCUGGUUCCCAGACCAGGCUUCUGGCUCCAAGUUCCAGAACCUUCCACAAGUACACACUGACUGUUCCUCAUCAGUUCAGUCCAUCUGUCCUGACACGGCAGUGAGUCCAGCUGGGGCUGAGGAGUGAAGACAGUUUAAGGUGACUCAGAGAAACUCACUCCUCAGUGAAGACCUGUCCAGACGACAAACGGCUUUGGAACAACUUAGACGUGGAGGUGUGGGUAUUCUCGGGGGCCUUUCUCCUGCAAGUCCCAGUGUGGUCUUCUACCAUUGUGUGGAAAUAUGACGAGUGGUCACCUUGCAUCCUGUGCUUUUGGGGUACACUUUUCAAGUUUCUGUGUUCAAACAUUUUGAAAAUCAGAAGUGAUCACGUGUCCUGAGUUUCAGUUUGAAAGCCACAGUGUGCAAUAGUCACUUCCCUCAGAUUUCUACUGUGGAAAACAAAGCACGUAACCCUCAAGGUCAGGGACAAAAGCAAAGGCCCCCACCCAGACCCUGACCACAGCUGAGGGCCACAUACCUCUCCCUCCUGCUCAGACAGCCCUGGCUCAAACGUCCUUGAGACACCUCCACAGGUUCAAGACUGAGCAGGGAAGUGGACCCCCAUAGGCCAGAGCAUGUAGAAGCCAAUGCUGAGCCAAGUGUCCCCAGACCUCGAGGCAGAGACUACAGCAGGUGCUAGUGCUGCAUCUUCAGGAAGCACCGGGGCCAGGGUGGCCAAACUAGAAGAUGGUAGAAGAGAGAAAUUCCUAGAGUGGGGCUGAGGGCCUUCCUCCAGGCAAACCCCUCCGUCCCCAGGGUGCAGCUGGCUCUGUUCUACAGGGCCAGUGACACUUAUGACAAGCCCCUGCUGCCACCUCCCUCAGGAGAAGCCACCGGCUGUCCAAGGCCAAGACAGCAUGGCACCCCUCCUGUCUCCCUGGGUUUCUGUGACUGCACAGCGGGCAUCCUGUACUGCUGAACCCCUGUGCUGGGGCAGGAGGCACUGCCAGGGUCCCAACAGGCCCUGUGCAUCACAAGACCUGGGCCCCAGGUUCUGCUCCCUCGGGUGUUGGCUGAGGGUCCUCCUGCUUCAGAUGCAGCCAUGUCUGGGUCCCCCUCAGUUGGGCUGCAGAAGGGGUGGACAGCAGGGCAGGGAGGGGGGAACAGUUUACCCCCUGAACAACUCCUGCACCUCCAGAUACUCAAAGAACAGCUUCUGAAUCAAGUUUAAAAACAGCUGCUCUUCUGAUGAUUUAAGUGAUGUCCUGAGUAUUUGCCUUGAGUGCACAGAGGGCCUGGGUGGGCUGGGACUUUGCCCAGGCAGGACCCUGGGAGACAAGGCUGCUGCACUCCCAGGAGGAGGUGUGCUUUGCCUCUCAUCUCAUGUGAGGAGAAUCCAGGAGGUUUGGCAAUGUUGGCAGUGUCUGUAAAUGUUUGCAACAUCAUGUGACAAGGCCAGUUCAGGUGUCUACAAACUGCUGUGGCCCGAGCCCCCUGUGAUUGCCAUGCAGAACCUCGUUAAUCCUGCCACAGGUUGAGAUGUGUCCUCUGUAAGCCAACCAGACAUACAACCUGGAGUUGUUUCUAUCAUCAGAAGAUCAUUUUAACUAUAAUCCAUCAGGAUACAUUUUGAAAACUGGCCUCUGAUGAAGGAUUGGAUGGUAAUGCAGUGCCUGCUUUGAUCUGGAUAAAAUUUAACUUGCCUUAAUAAUCUUUUUCAAUUCCCAUCAAUGUUUCUCUGAGAAUGUUCUGUCUACUGUGAGUGUUGUUGAAACAUAAAACAGAAUUCACUGAGGCUGACAUUUCCCCCUCUGCUCAACUGGGCCAAGAAGCAUCUCAUUUGUUG
rnacentral:lncRNA from 1 species